GCAAUGAUAGCUCAGCGCCAGAGCGCCGGCCUUGUAAGUCGGAUGU
rnacentral:tRNA from 1 species